GACGAACGCUGGCGGCGUGCUUAACACAUGCAAGUCGAACGGAAAGGCCCUGCUUUUGUGUGGUGCUCGAGUGGCGAACGGGUGUGUAACACGUGAGUAACCUUCCCUUGACUUUGGGAUAACUUCAGGAAACUGGUGCUAAUACCUGAUAGGAGCUCCUGCUGCAUGGUGGGGGUUGGAAAGUUUCGGCGGUGGGGGAUGGACUCGCGGCUUAUCAGCUUGUUGGUGGGGUAGUGGCUUACGAAGGCUUUGAUGGGUAGCCGGCCUGGGAGGGUGGCCGGCCACAUUGGGACUAAGAGAGGGCCCAGACUCCAACGGGGGGCAGCAGUGGGGAAUAUUGCACAAUGGGCGGAAGCCUGAUGCAGCAACGCCGCGUGUGGGAUGACGGCCUUCGGGUUGUAAACCACUUUCGCCUGUGACGAAGCGUGAGUGACGGUAAUGGGUAAAGAAGCACCGGCUAACUACGUG
rnacentral:rRNA from 1 species